UCCCUCAAGGAUUCUAUCUUCAUUUGCAGGGGUCAAAUUACAGCCCAUUUUUCUAUGAGAAAGGCAGAAAGGGAGAGGUCACCCUGUUAUGCCCUUGUAAUACCUUCGACAAUUACAUUUUUCGUCAUUCGCCAGCUGAAACUUCUAUUUUCUCGCUCUUCGCUCAUUCUCUGAUUGGAAGACAGACGCUGAAAAUUUCGGGAUGACUAUACCCUUCCCGAUUUUUCCAAGAUUCCUUUCCUUAACGCUGGCCAUAUUAAUGCGGUCUUCCAGAUACGUCUAUACCUGAUGUUCUGGAUCGACAACUCGAUCGCUACUUGAUCGCCAUCAGACAGAAGAGAGACGCUACCGGUCUUGUUUGCUUGGCGAUCGCCCUUCUGCUGAUUGAGAAUCGAGACAAAUUGCCCGGACUUUCCAUCCGGGCGGACUCACCUGAUCAACCGCAAUUUAAUGUUCCAGCUGUAGGAAAUGCCCCGGAGAUCACUGUCGAAUUCAAUGCGUCCGCAUUUGAAGAAAUUCCAGCAACUUAAGGUGUAGCCCGGAAGCAUUUCUAUUCCUCGGUCUUACAAAUCUAUCCUGUCGCCUGGAAGUGGAUUGUCCAGCUGACAGCUUGCUGUCAAGUUCAUUUUCUGAAGGACACGGAUGUGGCUAAUUACUUCAACCAGUUUCCAGAUUUCAAGAAGAUCAUUUCGUUCAACGGCCAUGAAGUGGAUAGGAACGCUGUUUAUCGAUACAUCAAAUUUACUGCGCCAGGGAUCAAAUGGCCGAAAUCACAAAAACUUGUGGCUAACGACGAAAUUCGUUCCACCUUCCUGAGCGAUUCUUCCUUUGUUAAACAGCGAACGACCUUUUCGGCCACUGCUUUGCCGACAACUUAUCGAUGGGCUCGGGUGUCACGUCGGCCAGUUCGAAAUCGACGCAGAAAUGAUUGAGGCUGUUGAUCAAUCGUUGAUCAACUACUGGGACAAGAGUUGUAAUGAGAGAAUUCCGGAUAAACUCAGAGCUAUGGCAGCUGCUUACGCUCAGUUUCGCGGAAGGGACUACGGGAACUGGAUACAAGGAAAGAGGGCCCUAUCUCGGACCCUUCUUGUAUAUGUCGAUAUCUGGAAAGACAUAUUCCGAAGAUUGCUAAAAUGAAAUGUGGUAAUUGUUGAUUUACGUCGGGAGCUCUUGGUCUUUUAAUUUUCUCAACAGUUCCUCAAUCCUCACUGAAGAUGCAAACAUUAUCUGAAUAAAGUGAAUAGAUUGUAGAUCAUUUCUUGAUAAUCCCAAUAAAAAUGC